rnacentral:rRNA from 1 species
UACGAAGGGGGCUAGCGUUGCUCGGAAUUACUGGGCGUAAAGCGCACGUAGGCGGCUUUUUAAGUCGGAGGUGAAAUCCUGGAGCUCAACUCCAGAACUGCCUUCGAUACUGGAGAGCUUGAGUCCGGGAGAGGUGAGUGGAACUGCGAGUGUAGAGGUGAAAUUCGUAGAUAUUCGCAAGAACACCAGUGGCGAAGGCGGCUCACUGGUCCGGUACUGACGCUGAGGUGCGAAAGCGUGGGGAGCAAACAGG